rnacentral:lncRNA from 1 species
CUGUCGCGUAGUAAGUUACCAUCGGAUCUUCACCGUCGGUAAGUUGCCAUCCAUUUUCAACGGUCGAUAAGUAAUCACGGUAGGUUACCAUUAGAUCUUCUCGAUUGGUAAGUCAUUCUAUCAUCGAGUACGCAUAGAAAAACAUUUCGCGACUGCCAUAUAAGGUAAAUAGGAGGGGUGGGGUGACUCGAGCUACGUCAUACCUCUUUCAGCUGUCGGACGCCGUCGAGACAAGUCUCAACUAGUUUCGCUCCACGUACAUGCAAUCAUUAUCGAUGACGUGAAUGCAUUGAAAUUAGAAGACGUUCACCAUCGUUCCAUGGAAAUUAUACUAAUCAAUGGUGGUAUAUACAACUGCAUACAUACGUGCAAGUGUAUUUCUUUCUUUCUUUCUUUCUUUUCUUUAAUUUUAUAAAUGCAUCAAUUUCCAAAUGGAUCGUUCGAUGCAUUAGAAAAUUUUAACUUCUCGUAUCGUUAAUUAAUUGUAAAGUAAAUGAAAUGAUUUAUCGAAUUAAUUAUUUAAUUACGCGUUGCAAUUGUUGUUUAAAUGUUUUUAAUUUAAAUUCAUUUUAGUUCUUUCGGUAUUUAAUUCACAUAAAUAAUUCAAGACACAGUCGAUUCUAUUUUAUUGUUCAAAUGAUAAUUUAUAAAUAUUGUACUUUGUUUAGUUUUACAUUAAUGCUAUAUCUAUUCUUUCCUAUAAGUAUUA